GCGAGAUGUAGGACUCCACCUGGGAUCCAUUUGAAAGGAUCCAGUGGAUCGGGUGGGGAGGGAAGGACUGAACCCAGCCGUCUCCAUGAAUUACUUGGCAGGAAAAGGAAGCAUCUCCUCCUGGGGCCUCAACUGGGGAGACUCGAAGGCUGGGGAGGACGCUACUGCUGGAGACUGGGAUGCCCCAUGGACUCUUUCACUCCCAUGUCUAGUGCUUGAACUGAGAAGAAAACCAGGGGAGUCUACUAGCAAAGGAGUUGGAAGACCACAGCGUAUACUCCAGCAUGGGUUGUUUCUCCAGGAAGCUGGCAGUCUUGGCUUCCUCAAUUGCAAGAUGGAGAUAGGGCUUUUGUUGGGAGGAUUAAAUAUGAUGAUCACCAAGGUAGAUUCUACUGCUGUGCUUCUUCUACAGGUGAGAAAACAAAGGCCAUAGAAGGUGAAGUAACAGGGUCACAAAAAGCUUAAGUAACUUGUUCAAGAUCACAGAGCUAAAAAGUGACAGAGGCAAGAUUUGAAACCAGGAAGGCUGACAGAGCUCCUGCUCUCAACACCUGCGAUGGGACCUUGGGCACAUUUCUUCACUUUGCCGCAAUCAGCUCCUUCUUGGCCCUGAGAAGGGACCUCCUUCCACCUGGUCUGGGCUGGAGAAGCAGUGUCAGGACUGUCUGCAAUAUCAAGAGUGGCACCAGGCAUGCAGAGUUGCCGAUCAGCACUUCAUGGACACUUCUGAACUUAGAUUGUCUACUGAGUGGCCUGUGGCAAAAAAAAGAGGUUCUGAAUUCCCUUUGUUCUCCCCUUUUAUGUUGCCCAAAGGAAAACCAAAGCAAAAAACACCCUUUGAAGCUGUCUUCUAUAUGAAAAAAUAAACAGACCCCUUUGCAAUGAGAGCCUCGGAGCAGGAUUUCAGUAAAGCUGCCCUGAUUGCCAGUGCCCUGAUGAUGACUGCCCCAUGAAAGGAGGAUGGCUACAGAGCCUGCAGCCAGAGCCAACUCUUUACAUUUUUUUAUCCCAUUCACCAAAUUCUGUUCCUGACAAUUUCCAUUCUUUUAAGCCACACCAAUGAGAUUCUUUGAGCAUCCUUUACAUAAUAAAAAGUCAAUUAGUAUGCUAUUUCUUUCUUUCUUUUUUCUUUCUUUCAUUCUUUUUUUUUUUGGUGAGGAAUAUUGGCCCUAAGCUAACAUCUGUGCCAAUCUUCCUCUAUUUUGUAUAUGGGAUGCCACCACAGCAUGGCUUGAUGAGUGGUGUGUAGGUCCACACCCAGAAUCUGAACCCACAAACCCCAGGCCACCAAAGUGAAGCAUGUGAACUUAACCACUAUGCUACCAGGCUGGCCCCAAUAUGCUAACUAUUAAUAAGCUUGAUUCUUGUAUUCAGAAUGGCAAUGGCUGUGCUUUGAAUUGAUGGAGAGGGAGGUGUGUGUAGGAAAGGAACUGAUCUGGGAUAGUGAUCUUUGCAGCAUCCUCUGGGGUCCUCGUAGAAUUUUUCUUGCCCAUCCAUCCCCCUCCCUGACCCCCAACUCCUUUGAUGACAAGAGUGGUUUUGGCUGUUGUGGUCACUGGUUGCUUUGAAAUAAU
rnacentral:lncRNA from 1 species